rnacentral:rRNA from 1 species
GAUGAACGCUGGCGGCGUGCCUAAUACAUGCAAGUAGAACGCACAGUUUAUACCGUAGCUUGCUACACCAUAAACUGUGAGUUGCGAACGGGUGAGUAACGCGUAGGUAACCUGCCUGGUAGCGGGGGAUAACUAUUGGAAACGAUAGCUAAUACCGCAUAAUAUUGAUUAUUGCAUGAUAAUUGAUUGAAAGAUGCUAUUGCAUCACUACCAGAUGGACCUGCGUUGUAUUAGCUAGUAGGUGAGGUAACGGCUCACCUAGGCGACGAUACAUAGCCGACCUGAGAGGGUGAUCGGCCACACUGGGACUGAGACACGGCCCAGACUCCUACGGGAGGCAGCAGUAGGGAAUCUUCGGCAAUGGACGAAAGUCUGACCGAGCAACGCCGCGUGAGUGAAGAAGGUUUUCGGAUCGUAAAGCUCUGUUGUAAGAGAAGAACGGGUGUGAGAGUGGAAAGUUCACACUGUGACGGUAUCUUACCAGAAAGGGACGGCUAACUACGUG